CAGGGAUUUCUGGGGUGAAGCCUGCGGUGAUCUCCUGGCUUGAAGGAGGAGCCGUAAGGUGGGGUAGAAGAGGCAUGUGUGCAGAAAGGAAAUCACAGCUUCAGGGGAUUUCACUGCAACAAUUUGAUUUGGGAAUUGAGUCACCAAAAACGAGUGAGUCGGAACCUGCUCGCUCACAUCAGGUUGCAAAGCCUCCCCUACUUCUCAUCUCUCCUGGAACAGCGACCCAGGCUAUUGGGGAAAACAAGGACUUUGACUCCAUAUGCCCUGUGUUCAGUGUGUCACUCUCCUGGUAUUCCAGAUCUGGAGACCCUCCAGUGUUCCUGGUGAUCUGAUCCAAGACCAGAGAUGGGGGAAAAAUUAACUUUCCUGACCAGAAAGUACCUGGUCAGGAACAUUGGAGCCUGGCCCUUUAAGAAUCUGACGGAAAUGUAGGUGACCUCAUGGAAUCAAGUAAAGGUCGAAGUUUCCAGUCAUCCACAUUUUGUGCGUUGUGUGUGUGUCUUUAACGUUUUCAGCCAAACCCAGUUUUACAUUUUGACCCUGCUGGUUCAGUGCUCAGUUGUUGCUCUCUGCAGUUUUCACUGGAUCAGUGGUGUGGAGUUGACCUUGGGGUGGCUGUGUGCAAGACUGGCAC